rnacentral:rRNA from 1 species
UACGUAGGGGGGCUAGCGUUGUCCGGAAUCAUUGGGCGUAAAGAGCGUGUAGGCGGCCCGGUAAGUCCGCUGUGAAAGUCGGGGGCUCAACCCUCGAAUGCCGGUGGAUACUGUCGGGCUAGAGUGCGGAAGAGGCGAGUGGAAUUCCUGGUGUAGCGGUGAAAUGCGCAGAUAUCAGGAGGAACACCUAUUUGCGAAGGCAGCUCGCUGGGACGUUUACUGACGCUGAGACGCGAAAGCGUGGGAGCAAACAGG